UACAGAGGGUGCAAGCGUUGUUCGGAAUUACUGGGCGUAAAGCGCGUGUAGGCUGCAAUGUAAGUCGGAUGUGAAAGCCCUUGGCUCAACCAAGGAAGUGCAUCCGAUACUGCGUCGCUUGAGUGUCGGAGGGGUCGGCGGAAUUCCCGGUGUAGAGGUGAAAUUCGUAGAUAUCGGGAGGAACACCUGUGGCGAAGGCGGCCGACUGGACGAUAACUGACGCUGAGACGCGAAAGCGUGGGUAGCAAACGAGG
rnacentral:rRNA from 1 species